GAUGAACGCUGGCGGCGUGCCUAAUACAUGCAAGUCGAGCGAACAGACGAGGAGCUUGCUCCUCUGACGUUAGCGGCGGACGGGUGAGUAACACGUGGAUAACCUACCUAUAAGACUGGGAUAAUUUCGGGAAACCGGAGCUAAUACCGGAUAAUAUAUUGAACCGCAUGGUUCAAUAGUGAAAGACGGUUUUGCUGUCACUUAUAGAUGGAUCCGCGCCGCAUUAGCUAGUUGGUAAGGUAACGGCUUACCAAGGCGACGAUGCGUAGCCGACCUGAGAGGGUGAUCGGCCACACUGGAACUGAGACACGGUCCAGACUCCGACGGGAGGCAGCAGUAGGGAAUCUUCCGCAAUGGGCGAAAGCCUGACGGAGCAACGCCGCGUGAGUGAUGAAGGUCUUCGGAUCGUAAAACUCUGUUAUUAGGGAAGAACAAAUGUGUAAGUAACUAUGCACGUCUUGACGGUACCUAAUCAGAAAGCCACGGCUAACUACGUG
rnacentral:rRNA from 1 species